AUUUUUAACCGGAUUUUUGUGACAAAAAUGUCGGUUAUUGAUUUGGGGAUGUACGGCGGGCGGUCGGGCGGGCGGGCGGGCGGGCGGCAAUCAAAUGUUGUCCGUGCAUUAACUCAUGAACCGUUCAACCAAAGCUUUUAAAAUUUUUAAUAUGUUAUUACUGACAACUAUACGAAGGUCAAGUUCAAUAAUGGCGAUUUUGACUUUUACCGUUCAGGAGUUAUGGUUCUUGAAAGGCGGCAAUCAAAUGUUGUCCGUGCAUUAACUCAUGAACCGUUCAACCAAAGCUUUUAAAAUUUUAAUAUGUUAUUACUGACAACUAUACGAAGGUCAAGUUCAAUAAUGGCGAUUUUGACUUUUACCGUUCAGGAGUUAUGGUUCUUGAAAGAUUGAAAAAUGGAGUUUUCAGUCGUGUCCGUGCAUUUACUCAUGAACUGUUCUACCAAAGCUUCCCAAAUUUUAAUAUGUUGUUACUGAUGACAGAAUGGAGGUCAAGUUCAAUAAUGACGAUUUUGACUUUUACCGUUCAGGAGUUAUGGUUCUUGAAAGAUUGAAAAAUGGUGUUUCCCGUCGUGUCCGUGCAUUUUCUCAUGAACCAUUCAACCAAAGCUUUUGAAAUUUUAAUAUGUUGUUACUGAUGACAAAAUAGAGGUCAAGUUCCAUAAUGACGAUUUUGACUUUUACUGUUCAGGAGUUAUGGUUCUUGAAAGAUCGUAAAAUGGCGUUUCCAUUCACGUUGUUGCAUUUACUCAUGAACCAUUCAAUCUAAGCUUUUCAAAUAUUAUUAUUUCAAAAUGUUGAUACUGAUGACAAAAUGGAGGUCAAAUUUGAUAUUGAUGAUUUUCACUUUCACCAUUCAUCAGUAAUGGUUCGUGUGAUAUUGCCAGG
rnacentral:lncRNA from 1 species